GCGUCUGUAGCUCAGCUGGAUAGAGCAACUGACUUCGGAUCAGUAGGUCGGGGGUUCGAAUCCCUCCGGGCGUA
rnacentral:tRNA from 1 species